GAGGAUAUAGCUCAGUGGUAGAGCACUUGCCUAACAUGCACGAGGUCCUGGGUUCAAUCCCCAGUACCUCCU
rnacentral:tRNA from 1 species